rnacentral:rRNA from 1 species
AUGGCUCAGAACGAACGCUGGUGGCGUGUCUUAUACAUGCAAGUCGAGCGAGGCAGCAAUGCCGAGCGGCGAACGGGUGAGUAACGCGUAAGCAAUCUGCCCCAUAUCAGGAAAUACCCGUGCCAACGCGCGGUUAAUGUCCAGGAGAGUGGCUCCCCGCAUGGGGAGUUGACUAGAGAUUUAUCGGUAUGGGAUGAGCUUGCGUCCGAUUAGCUAGUUGGCGGGCAACGGCCCACCAAGGCGACGAUCGGUAGCCGGCCUGAGAGGGUGAUCGGCCACAUUGGGACUGAGAUACGGCCCAGACUCCUACGGGAGGCAGCAGUAGGGAAUAUUGCACAAUGGGGGGAACCCUGAUGCAGCAACGCCACGUGUGGGAAGAAGCAUUUCGGUGUGUAAACCACUGUCGUGAGGGAAUAAGGCCUGUUUUAGGACAGGAUUGAAUGUACCUCGAAAGGAAGCACCGGCAAACUUCGUGCCAGCAGCUGC